GACUAGUCCGAAGGUAGUGAGUUAUCUCACCUGAUUGUUCACAGUCACAGAUUGAACUCCUUGUUCUACUACUUUCCCCCUCUUCACUACUGCACUUGACUAGUCUUAA
rnacentral:Y_RNA from 1 species